AGUGAACGCUGGCGGCAGGCCUAACACAUGCAAGUCGAGCGGCAGCGGGUUCCCGCGAGGGGAUGCCGGCGAGCGGCGGACGGGUGAGGAACACAUCGGAAUCUGCCUGGUUGUGGGGGAUAACGUAGGGAAACUUACGCUAAUACCGCAUGAGACCCUGAGUCGACGGACUGGGGGUGAAAGUGAGGGACCUUCGGGCCUCACGCGACCAGAUGAGCCGAUGUCGGAUAGCUAGUUGGCGGGGUAACGGCCCGCCAAGGCGACGAUCCGUAGCUGGUCUGAGAGGAUGAUCAGCCACACUGGGACUGAGACACGGCCCAGACUCCUACGGGAGGCAGCAGUGGGGAAUCUUGGACAAUGGGCGCAAGCCUGAUCCAGCCAUGCCGC
rnacentral:rRNA from 1 species